UGAGGCAUUUGAGUGGCCCCAUCCCACACACCCACCUGGGUCGGGUCCUGGGGCUGAGUGAAGCCCUCCCUGGGCUGGGCUGCUGUUUUGAAACUCCUCAGUUCAAGCAAGGGACCUCUCCCUGCACACUGCUGUUCUUUGGGAUGGGGACAAAAUAGCUGGGGCACCACACUGCAAAUUCUGUAGCUGAGUUGGGAAGGCUGGGUCAGCAGCUGGAUAUUGUAGUGGUUGAUGUGUUCCUUUACAUGCAGUAUAUGCUGCAUUUUACCACAUACAUGCAUUUGCAAGACAGUAUGUUCUUUUUAUCCAUAAAGCCUUAACUAACAUUGAUCAUGGAUCAUAAAAAAAGAAUGAUUUGCAGAGGGAGCUGCUGUGUUGAAAUAGUCAGUCAUUAACUAUUUGAUGAGGUUUUAAAAUCUGAACUGAAUUCUCUGAUGUAACCAACUAUUAUUACAGGGUCUGCAUCAUAGCAAUGCAAGUGCUGGAGCCCUUUGGCAAGCCAUAGCACUGAGGGCAGGAUGGAGCACUCUGGAGGAAAAGCCACUAAAUGGCCUCAGCUGUAGCUCUGCACAGCCCUGGAAAUGCUGAAGGAGUCAGAGCAGCAGUGAUUGGUUUGAAAUUGGAAAUACAUAUGUCUGGAUGACUAAAACACGAACAACAAAUAGGAGCAGCAGCAUGUAAAGUAUAGAGAAGUAGAAGCAUUAAUAGAAAUAUUUCUGCUAUAGCAGCUAUUAAAUGUUAUUUUUUUUUACGGUUUGGAAGAAGAACCCAUAUGUUUAUAAGAAUUUUCCCCCCAAUUAAAAUAUUUGUGUAUGAGUGUGUCUUUCUCUAAAUAUUAUUUAGCUACACAUACACAGAGGGCUGAUGUAUAAAAUUCUCUCCCAGUGAAGUGAGAGCUGCUUCUCCUUUAGUUUCUUGUCCUAACGCCAGGCAGAAAGGACAGACACCCAGUCCAAC